rnacentral:rRNA from 1 species
UACGUAGGGGGCGAGCGUUAAUCGGAAUUACUGGGCGUAAAGCGUGCGCAGGCGGUUGUGCAAGACCGAUGUGAAAUCCCCGGGCUUAACCUGGGAACUGCAUUGGUGACUGCACGGCUAGAGUGUGUCAGAGGGGGGUAGAAUUCCACGUGUAGCAGUGAAAUGCGUAGAGAUGUGGAGGAAUACCGAUGGCGAAGGCAGCCCCCUGGGAUAACACUGACGCUCAUGCACGAAAGCGUGGGGAGCAAACAGG